rnacentral:lncRNA from 1 species
AAAUGGCACAUGAUUCGCCAAGUAAAUGUCUAAAUCUAGUACAUGUACAGUUUGCAAACUAUGUGACGGAAUUAACCAGUGAUUUAACUCAAUAAAUGAUGUUUCGUGUGAUACUACGUUUUUGGAUUUACUGGGAGAAGCCAAUAAAAAAAGGUUGAUAUUAAACCUUCAUAUAUUGCUACCUGACAGGAUGGGAAAAGAUCUGGUAGACUGGCAAAAGAAGAAUGUGAAUAUCUAAUACACUGACUAUGUGGAAUCAUGAAAUAUUUUCUCUAAAAGAAAUAACGUUAUGCUUAAUUGUUUUACCAUUUGCCAAUUAAAGGACAGAAACAUG